UAAGAGGUAAACUAAAGAAGUUAGUGGGCUCAUGUCCCAAAUAUGAAGAAUUGUCUUCCCUCUUAG
rnacentral:tRNA from 1 species